UCCAGGAGCACUGUGGAAGGGUCUGGAGUCCAGAGAAGUGUUCUCCCAUCUUUCUCUUUCUCUCUCUCUAGGGUUUUUCUCUCUCUAGAGAAAAGUCGCCGUUUUGCGCCAAUUUCGCGCCGUACGCGUCGCUCGCUGGUUGGGUGGACUAAGGGCCAGCUUUUAAAAGAGUUUGUGAGGGUCUCCUGCAGCUAUAGAGGAGAUAUCUAGCUGUGAUUUACCCACUUUGAACCAGGGAAAAGUGGCCUUGAGGUCUGAGAUAGCAGGUUCUCGAACUCCUUGGGGUUAAGUUGGGGACCAGGGAGGCUAGCUUGGAAGGUACUCCAACUAAGGUUCGCAGCGGGCUUGCAACGGACCUUCGGAUUACCUCCGGCUGAUACGUGAGGGAUUUUGCAAGCUUAACUUGAGCAGGAUUGAGACCUAGUGGAGCUGAACUUUGGGACUCCUUGGACUGAUUUGGAG